rnacentral:misc_RNA from 1 species
GAGAGAGAGAGAGAGAGAAGCAGAUGGGGUGUGAGAGAAUUAAAUUGGCGUAGCAGAGGAGAGAGAAUGGCCAUGGCGGCGUUGCAGAGAAAGAGAGAGAAAGAAGAGCAGCAGAAGCAGCAUCGGCAGCUGUAAUUCUGUGUCCUGGAAUUAAAUGAAUCUACUCAAUUCCAACACUGUCAACUAAAAGGAAACCAACCCAAAGGAAACAAAGAAGUAGAGCAAGGAAUUGAAGGUCCGAUUAAUACUGGUCCUCAGCUCCUCCAUCCUUCAAAGCUGCCGAAUUACUACUAGUUGGCUGGCGCAAUUACCCUCGAAACCACCACUCCACCACCGCUACCAAGAACAAUAACAAGAACAAAACUAAUCAGCAACUGCUCGGUUGUUUAGAGACCAGAUAAAGUGAGGAGAGAGAAACAGACACUCACGGAUACAAUACACGUAUACAACACAAAAUACGAAGAGGAAACAAAUUGCAAGAAAAAUUCUCUCUCCCACUCAAAACCCAAAAUUCAAGAAAUUCGAGAGAAGAGACUACCCAUUUCAUAUCUGGGCUUUAUUCACAAGCCUAAAACCAGAGAGCUAGCUUCUGAUAUGGAUUUUCUCUCACAAUUGACGACUGGGUCAGGUUUAGAGAAGGAACAAUGGCUGGCCUGUUCUCACUAGGU